UGAAUGAAAGAUUCUCUGUCUUUCAGUGGUCAUUGAUGCCACACACAAGAUGCAGUUAACAACAUGAUAUUGCUUUGAUAUGUGCACUGACAGUUCCAUCUGUUUGAUCAAUUCAUCGAUUCUCCUCCCUCAGUUGGAGCUGCUUCCAAUUUCCCUGUUGGCACUUCUGUUAGCCAUUAGUACAUCAUUAAGCAAAUAAAAGUAAGAAGUUGUGGGCUGUACUUUAGAUCGAGAAAGUCAGCAGCAAAAAACAUGCUUUCUUCUAGUCAAUAUAUAACCUUUUUGACAUUGAGUUCUAGUCAAAAAAACAUGCUUUCUUCUAGUCAAUGAUUUGUACACUAACUUGCCUAAUAAUGACACAAAGUUGCCUACAAUAUUUUUUUGGCAUAUGAUUUACGGCAACUAGCAAACGGAAGGGAGGAGAGAGGUGUCUGAGUACCAGCGACCAGCAAGAGAAGCAAGAGGAAGAGCCAAGGGGGCAGCGCCAUCCGUGCGUCACAACCAUCUAGGGGGUGGAGCUAGAUCCGGGAAAGCGUUGUCUCGAGUGGUCGAGGAACUGGGCAGUAAAUCACCGGCAAGUAUCUCAAAAUCACCCUCUAAGCAUGUGUUUUUCUACUCACAUCUACAAUUCUAUGUGAUAGAGGUGGAGUAGGGAGGUUGAAGAGGGGUGUAGGGGGUCCCAUGUUUAUGGGUGAAUCGAUGAUUUUGAGCUCGGGGGUGGUUUACGACUUGGGGAUGUGGGGGAUGGAAUCAUCUGUGAUUUCCGCCGAAAGUUUUAAAACCAUGCCCAACGCAUGCUAGUUAGUUGCUAGAGAUGCUGGCGUAAGUUGCCCAGAGAUCCGUUCCCGAGAUGGGGGCCUGGAAUCGUCGAUGAUUUGAGCCAAAAUUGUCCAAAACAUGCCCAACGCAUGGUAGGUAGUUGUAUUAAAGAUGAUGGCGCAAGUUUCCCAAAGAUCUGCUCCUGAUAUACGGGGGACGGAAUCGUCUAUGGCUUGAGCCGAAAGUGUCCAAAACUUGCCCAAACGCAUGAUAAUUAUUUGCGAGAGAUGCCGGCGUAAGUUGCCCAAAGAUUUGCUUGCGAGAUGCGAGCGCUAGAAUCUUCUAUGAUUUGAGCCAAAAGUGUGGAAAGCUUGCCCAACACAUGAUAGUUAGUUGCUAGAGAUGCUGGCGUGAGUUGCCCAAAGAUCUGCUGCCCAAAUGCGGGGGCUGGAAUCGAAAAUGAUUUUAGGCGAAAGUGUCCAAAACUUGCCCAACGCAUGAUAGUUAGUUGCUAGAGAUGCUGUCGUGAGUUGCCCAAAUAUCCACUCCUGAGAGCGCUGGAAUCGUCUAUGAUUUGAGCCGAAAGUGUCUAAAACUUGCCUAACACAUGAUAGUUAGUUGCUAGAGAUGCUGAUGUGAGUUGCCCAAAGAUCGGCUGCCGAGAUGCUGGGGCUGGAAUUGUCAAUGAUUUGAGCCGAAAGUAUUCAAAACUUGCCCAAUGCAUGAUAGUUAGUUGCUAGAGAUGAUGACGUGAAUUGCCCAAAGAUCCGCUCCCGAGAGCGCUGGGCUUUAUUUCGCCGAAAACUUGACCAACACAUGAUAGUUAGUUUGCUAGAGUGGCUGGCGCGAGUUGUCCAGAGAUAUUUUUUUAGUGAAAAAUUGAUUUUAUUUGCACAAAAGUAUUAUUUCCAAUAAGAUAAGUUGUCUAAAUAGUACUUGCUAAAUCACCUAACUUUCAUAAAUAUGGGAUCGUAUAGAUAUUCUUGCCUAAAGAAAGUGUUUUGUUUGUAGGGCCUCACUAAAUUCUAAAACGGUGUCAAGGCAACAUGGUUUUGUGCACACGCCCACGCAAGAAGCUUCAAAAUCUACUUCGAGGUAAGCUCGCCAAAAGCUACCCAACUUCUUUGUUUCAGCCAAAAAAAUGAGGAGUUGCCUCAAACACACAAGAGUUGCUUACUGCCAACAGUUGUUUGGCUUAAACAAACCCUAGAACUUGGCUACACUUUUUUUCCUCAACACAUUCCUAGUACAAAAAGAAAAGCGUCAAGGGGUUUCUCCGGAUUGGAUGUACAAAAACCAGUAGCUGGAGAAAGAAAAACGAAACAGUUUUCAUGUACUGACAAGACUAGCUUUUCAUCAAUACUUGAUUUGCUUAAAAGUUCGCUAUAGUUGCUCACUAAUUCCUUUUUACCAUUUUCUUGCAAUAGGUGUUGUACAAAUCAAAUAUUAGUUACUCAUGCUAGAAGAAACAAGGGGAAAACAAUGGAAAAGGAGUUGCAAUUAGGAUGAACAAGGCGAGGAAAAAUCAAACCUUCUCUUUCUUUUCCUCCUCUGCACCCUGGUUCAUUUUUAGCAAGCAAGCAAGAUUUUUGCUACACACUUCAAGGUAAAC
rnacentral:lncRNA from 1 species